GAUGUAUAGGCUACGCUUCAAAAAAGUGCUUUUAAAAAGUAAAGAGUACGGUCCUUCAGUGUUGUCGAAUCACAAAAUAUUUGACAACACUUAGUCACCUAUAUUACAACACUUUUUAACCGUUGCUAUUUCUUAAGCCUAAAAGCUACACUUUGUAAGUGUCUCUAAAGAGUUUCACCAAAAAUUUCCCCCAAUCUCUUAAUUAAUGAAAUAAUUCCCCCCAUUUUGAAAGGGCAAAUAAAGUGGAUCUCAGAGACGGAAAUAGGGAACUUCCAUCGGUUGCUGCUUCUAAUUGUUGGAAACCCUAAAAAUAAUUUAGGGCUAUUGAAGUUUAAUCUCUCUGCAGAACCAGCUUUGGCAUUGACAGGAGUGAAUAAUGAAGAAGAUUUCACUUGGGUGUUUAUUCAAUUGGCCAUCUCUGCCUUCUUUACUUCCUUGUUUGCCUUGUAAGUGGGAACAAAAGAAUAGCACAGAACUUACUGACAUUAUACAAGCUUUGUUAUUUAUUUAAGUUCUUUGGCAAUUCCUUAAGAUGUCAGAUUCCAGCUUAUCAUAAUGACCUGUAUGAUACCUAUUGAUACAUACACUGCAUUUGAGUUUAAUCAUUCUACAAUAUUCAACUGUCAA